ACGAAGGUCCCGCCUCGGCCAGGCCUGCUGGGCUCCCGACGCUCGCGGGAGCAGCGGGAAACCGGGUUCCGGGAGUGGGGCGAGGACGCCCCUGCCAAGCCCCUUUUACGUCCCGGCGGUCGCGAGGAGGUCCCCCGGGCGCGAAGAAGACGCCAGCCCAGCCCAGCCGCCGGAGAGCCCGCCCAGGCCGCGCUCAGCCCCGCCCCUGGCUCUGCCCCCGCCGCGGAGCGGAACCCUCCAAGUCGCGGCCUGAGGGGGAAGGAAAAGGGGGCGGCCCGGGAGAGCCGCUGCGAAAUCAGCAACGGGCGGGAACCAGGUUGCCUCCCUGAGUCCCUUCUCUCCCCGGCCGGCUGCCAACCACAGCCAAGGCCAGAGAAACAGGCCCUUCUGCCGCGGCCACCUGGGCGCCUUGGACCCGCCCUCCGGACCCGUCCCCGCCCCUGCCGCGGAGUGGAACCUUUGGAACCCUGAGGGGCACAGCUCCUCUAGCAAUUCCGAUGUGAAAAGAAGAUGGAUGGAGAAGCACUGAUUCAGCCAUGGCUGACAUGUCGGAGUUGGAAUGGACAGUGCCCGGACCUCACAGUCUCAGAGAACUGGAGAAGAGUAAAGCUGAAGAGGGCAUCAUCUGGUUGCAAAUGACAAGUCCAGGGCUCCAGCUUCUUCGGCUCCUUGGCCAUGUGUGUACUUUAUGAUGAAGGGCCCAGCUUCUGCAGGACAUCCAUACUACCAAGGUCAAAAGCAACAAUAAGCGACGUGGGGCUCAGUCUGUUCUCGUGGGCUACAAUGCAUGCUUCUGGUUUCCAGGUUGUUCUUGCUCUCCCUUAUUUUACAUUUAUCCUUCCUUCCCAACUGCCUGUCCCAUAGAUGUCGAGUCCCAACAUCAGAUGUGAAGAUGAGAGCUUUAUAGAGACUGCUUAACCAGCUCCCACAGUUGUAUUAGGACAAAUCCCUGUAGCAAAUCCCUGUGUGUGUGUGUGUGUGUGUGUGUGUGCGCGCGUGCACGCACCUUAGUGGUUCUCCUGUGAUUGAAUCCUGACUUACACAGUUUGAGAUAGAAACCUUCUGAAGCAAUUAGAUUAAAUGGUCUAUAACUGUGCUGUCCAACAUGGUAGCCAUUAGCUACAUGUGGCUAUUUAAAUUUAAAUUAAUUAAAGUUAAACAUAAUUAGAAUUUAGUACCCCAGUCAAGUUUCAAGUGCUCAAUACUGUGGUCACAUGUGGCUGGUGGCCACUGUUUUGGGCAGCACAGAUAUAGAGCACUUCCGUUAUUGCAAAAAAAAGUUCUAUGAGCACUGGUCUAUAGUGAUAAUUACUAGUAUUUACUGAGUUCUCACCAUGUGUCAGAUGCAGAUUCCAAGUUUGCUCUGGAGAGCACGAUCCGGCAGGCAAACGGGGAAAGAGAGAGAGUGAUGGGAAUCAGGUGGGAGAUUUUUUUUUUUUUUUUUUGAGAUGGAGUCUCACUCUGUCACCCAGGCUGGAGUGCAGUGGCACAAUAUCGAAUCACUGCAACCUCCGCCUCCCAGGUUCAAGUGAUUCUCCUGCCUCAGUCUCCCAAGUAGCCAGGAUUACAGACUUGUACCACCACGCCUGGCUAAGUUUUGUAUUUUUAGUAGAGACAGGGUUUCACCAUGUUGGCCAGGCUGGUCUCGAACCCCUGACCUCAGGUGAUCCACCCUCCUUGACCUUCCAAAGUGCUGAGAUUACAGGUGUGAGCCACUGCAACUGGCCAGGUGGGAGAUUUUUAAUGACCAGGCCUCGAGGUGGCACACAUCACUUAUACCCACAUCCAUUGGCCAGCACUCAGUUACACGGCCACUUCUAACUACAAGGGAGGUUGGGAAAUGUAGCCUAGCUGUGUGCUGAGGAAGAAAAGUAAAAGCUAUGGUGCCAGCCAGUCUCUGCCACAUCAGAUUUAAUUUGAGUGCUGUGAAGUAAUUAAUGCCCAUUAAACUAACGGUGGGACAAGAUUAAUGCUAAAAUCACUCUCCCCAGCCACCAUUUUCUCUCUUGUUCUUUGUCAUGAUAUUGACAAGGUCAAAAGUCAGGCAGUCAGCAUGAACCCGAGGAGGAGAAGUCCUUGUCACUUUGAGGCUGAAUAUGAACAGCCCCUUCUUUAUGACUCACCCUAUCAGCUUUGCUCCUAGCGAAUGUUCAUAUCGUGGUUCUCUGGGACCCUUCAGAGUGGGACUCCUAUGUGAGGAACUAGUUCUGUAAACAACUACAUGCUAGUAAAAAACCAUUAAGAGGGUUGGAAUUAGGCAUAGUCCUGCUGCAUAGAAAUCCUACUUAGUUGGAAAAAUUGUAUUUUUAAGUUGCCUCUGUUUUGAAGCCACGUUAACCCUUAACCUUCAGAAAAUCCUUAGCCAGCCUUUAUACAUUGGUAGCUCCUGUUCUAAUAAUGUCUUCUCCUCAUAUUUUCUUUGGCUUGUCAUGAGCUUUGAAAGUUUGAUCUGAGAUCUCUCACUUUUAAUAAUCUGUAACUCUGAUUUGGUAAUCUCCUACAUAUGAAUAAAAUGUCUGUGUUCAUUUAUUUCUAAUGAAUAAAUGAACAUGCCUGCUGAGCCAAGCUUUAAAUGUGAUUAAGGAGACUGACUUGGGUUCAGAUCCUGGCUCUGCCUUGAGUAAGUUCCUAACAUUCCUCUGCUUGUAUUUCCUUAUCUGUAAAAUGGGAGUGAUUUCUUUGAAUGAAAUUAUAUUACAUUUAUCAAGCAUUUUAUCACAGUUUCAACAAUAAGGUGUAAUUAUUAUUAAUUCAGACUAUAUGAUUCUGUGCCCUUGGAUAAAGUUUACCAUUAUAUAAUAAACUACUUUUUUCACUUAA